CCUUGCGCUCUUUGAGCGGCCGAUGUCAGAUUAGCUAGUUGGUGAGGUAGAGGCUUACCAAGGCGACGAUCUGUAGGCGGGUCUGAGAGGAUGAUCCGCCACACUGGAACUGAGACACGGUCCAGACUCCGUACGGGAGGCAGCAGGUGGGUAAGUUUUGGACAAGUGGGGGCAACCCUGAUCCAGCCAUGCCGCGUGAGUGAAGAAGGCCUUCGGGUUGUAAAGCUCUUUCGGCCGGGAAGAAAUCGCAUGGGUGAAUACCCUGUGUGGAUGACGGUACCGGAACAAGAAGCACCGGCUAACUACGUG
rnacentral:rRNA from 1 species